GUCAUAGCUCAGUGGCAGAGCAGCUGCCUUGCAUGAAGAAGGUUCCAGGUUCAAUCCCUGGUAUUUCCA
rnacentral:tRNA from 1 species